rnacentral:rRNA from 1 species
AUCGAUGAAGAACGCAGCGAAAUGCGAUAAGUAAUGUGAAUUGCAGAAUUCAGUGAAUCAUCGAAUCUUUGAACGCAUCUUGCGCUCCUUGGUAUUCCGAGGAGCAUGCCUGUUUGAGUGUCAUUAAAUUCUCAACCUUACCAGCUUUGCUGUUGGUUUGGCUUGGAUGUGGGGGUAUUCUGCAGGCUUUCACAAGUCAGCUCCCCUGAAAUGUAUUAGCGGUACCCUUGUGGUUAACGGCUACUGGUGUGAUAAUUAUCUACGCCAUUAGACGCCCACGUAUAUAUGGGGGUUAUGCUGCUUCUAACAGUCCAUUGACUUGGACAAACUACAAUGACAAUUUUGACCUCAAAUCAGGUAGGACUACCCGCUGAACUUAAGCAUAUCAAUAAGCGGAGGAAAAGAAACUAACAAGGAUUCCCCUAGUAACUGCGAGUGAAGCGGGAAAAGCUCAAAUUUGAAAUCUGGUAGUCUUCGAUUGCCCGAGUUGUAAUCUAGAGAAGUGUUACCCGCGUUGGACCGUGUACAAGUCUCCUGGAAUGGAGCGUCAUAGAGGGUGAGAAUCCCGUCUUUGACACGGACUGCCAAGGCUUUGUGGUGCGCUCUCAAAGAGUCGAGUUGUUUGGGAAUGCAGCUCAAAAUGGGUGGUAAAUGCCAUCUAAAGCUAAAUACAGGCGAGAGACCGAUAGCGAACAAGUACCGUGAGGGAAAGAUGAAAAGAACUUUGGAAAGAGAGUUAAACAGUACGUGAAAUUGCUGAAAGGGAAACGCUUGAAGUCAGUCGCGUUGGCUGGGAAUCAACCUUGCUUUUGCUUGGUGUACUUUCUAGUUAACGGGUCAGCAUCAGUUUUGAUCAGUGGAUAAAGGCAUGAGAAAUGUGGCUUCCUCGGAAGUGUUAUAGUCUUGUGUUGUAUACAUUGGUUGGGACUGAGGAACUCAGCACGCCGCAAGGCCGGGGUUCGCCCACGUUCGUGCUUAGGAUGCUGGCAAAAUGGCUUUAAUCGACCCGUCUUGAAACACGG